GAUGAACGCUGGCGGCGUGCCUAAUACAUGCAAGUAGAACGCUGAAGGAGGAGCUUGCUCUUCUGGAUGAGUUGCGAACGGGUGAGUAACGCGUAGGUAACCUGCCUGGUAGCGGGGGAUAACUAUUGGAAACGAUAGCUAAUACCGCAUGACAACAGUUAUUGCAUGAUAACUGUUUAAAAGGGGCAACUGCUCCACUACCAGAUGGACCUGCGUUGUAUUAGCUAGUUGGUGAGGUAACGGCUCACCAAGGCGACGAUACAUAGCCGACCUGAGAGGGUGAUCGGCCACACUGGGACUGAGACACGGCCCAGACUCCUACGGGAGGCAGCAGUAGGGAAUCUUCGGCAAUGGACGGAAGUCUGACCGAGCAACGCCGCGUGAGUGAAGAAGGGUGUCAGAUCGUAAAGCUCUGUUGUAAGAGAAGAACGAGUGUGAGAGUGGAAAGUUCACACUGUGACGGUAUCUUACCAGAAAGGGACGGCUAACUACGUG
rnacentral:rRNA from 1 species